rnacentral:rRNA from 1 species
ACGGGUGAGUAACACGUAGGCAACCUGCCCCAUAGCCUGGGAUAACUACCGGAAACGGUAGCUAAUACCGGAUAAUUCCUUUUCCCUCCUGGGAAGAGGAUGAAAGACGGAGCAAUCUGUCGCUGAGGGAUGGGCCUGCGGCGCAUUAGCUAGUUGGUGGGGUAACGGCUCACCAAGGCGACGAUGCGUAGCCGACCUGAGAGGGUGAACGGCCACACUGGGACUGAGACACGGCCCAGACUCCUACGGGAGGCAGCAGUAGGGAAUCUUCCGCAAUGGGCGCAAGCCUGACGGAGCAAUGCCGCGUGAGUGAUGAAGGUUUUCGGAUCGUAAAGCUCUGUUGCCAGGGAAGAACGUCUUAUAGAGUAACUGCUAUAAGAGUGACGGUACCUGAGAAGAAAGCCCCGGCUAACUACGUGCCAGCAGCCGCGGUAAUACGUAGGGGGCAAGCGUUGUCCGGAAUUAUUGGGCGUAAAGCGCGCGCAGGCGGCUAUUUAAGUCUGGUGUUUAAACCUUGGGCUCAACCUGAGGUCGCACUGGAAACUGGGUGGCUUGAGUACAGAAGAGGAAAGUGGAAU